ensembl:snRNA U6 U6 spliceosomal RNA
UUGCUUGCUUUGAAAGCACAUAUACUAAAAUUAGAACAAUACAGAGAAGAUUAGCAUGGUCCCUGCACAAGGAUAACACGCGAAUUUGUGAAGCAUUCCAUAUUUUU